GACGAACGCUGGCGGCGUGCUUAACACAUGCAAGUCGAACGAAGUGGCGAACGGGUGAGUAAUACGUGGGUAACCUGCCCUCCUUUUUGGGAUAAGCCUUGGAAACGGGGUCUAAUACCGAAUAUCGGGGGAUGGGCUCGCGGCCUAUCAGCUUGUUGGUGGGGUGAUGGCCUACCACGGCGGUGCCGGGUAGCCGGGCUGAGAGGGUGACCGGCCACAUUGGGACGGACAUACGGCCCAGAGUCGUACGGGAGGGAGCAUUGGGGGAAAUGGCAGAAUGGGCGAUAGCCGGAUGCAGCGACGCCGCGGAGGGGAUGAAGGCUGUCGGGUUGUAAACGUCUUUCGCUAGCGAAUGGGUAGCUGGAGAAGAAGCGCCGGCUAACUACGUGCCAGCAGCCGCGGUAAUUC
rnacentral:rRNA from 1 species